GUCGGUGACAGGUACCAGCAAAUUGCCGUUUUACACGCUGUAUACCGCAAAAAUGGAGGAACUCAACAGAAUUUACUGCGCGUUUUUCGCCCUUUUCGUCCUUUUCCUUUCUGCUGAAAAUAAAUUGGUCGCCGCUUUUUCUGACGAUUUUGAGUACGACUACGUGAGCUGUGGGUCCAUCAUCAAACUCCUAAACACAAGACACAAUGUCAGGCUACACUCACACGAUAUACGAUAUGGCUCAGGCAGUGGACAACAGUCGGUGACGGGAGUCGAACCAGCUGCAGACAAAAAUAGUUAUUGGCAGGUCAAAGGUCAACAGGGAAAGCCCUGCACCAGAGGGACGGCAAUUCAAUGUGGCAGCACCAUCCGCCUGCUUCACGUUGAGACCAGAAAGAACCUUCACAGUCAUCACUUCUCCUCGCCGCUCUCACACAACCAGGAGGUCAGCGGAUUCGGGGAAGACGGUGUCGGAGAUGAUGGUGAUAAGUGGGUAGUCACAUGCUCAUCAACCUAUUGGAACAGGAACGACCCCGUCAGAUUCAAACAUGUUGUUACUAACAGUUACCUGACGGUGUCUGGCGACAUCUACGGCCGGCCCAUCCACGGCCAGCGCGAGAUCUGCACGGUCCCCAACCCCAACCAGUCCAACCAAUGGAAGGCCAUGGAAGGCGUCUACAUCAAACCCACAGAGACGAGCGGGAAGGACUGACUAGACGGGGCGAAAGAACUCCACGACGAGUUAUGAUGAUCAGCAAAAACUCUUAAGUCCAGUUGGGCAAAAAAAAUUUUUUACUAGAAAUCGUCCGCCAAAAUUCAGGAUUUUCACUACUGUGUAUGCACAUUUUGGAGUCUGGUGUAAAAGCACAAACAAAAGCCAACUAAGAAAUAUUUAGAUAACCUUUUUGGAAUCAAAAAUAUUGCAGCGACGUAGCUUUAGAUGUCAUCGCUGAAUGAAGAUGUCGCGAUGACAUCGAAAGCUACGUCGCUGCAAUAUUUUUGAUCCAAAAAGGAAUCUAAAUAUUUCUUAUGAACGUGGUGGAACAGCAAACUGGUGACAACUACUAUAUUUUAGUUUGAUUUUUUUCCCAUGGAAAAUUUAUUUAUAAAUGUGUAUUAAAUGGUGAAAGGUCUACUCAAAUUGUAAGUACUUCGUAUCAACAGCAUUUUUUUCUGUUUAAGUCACUUUUUGUUUUUAGUGAUCAGAUUUAACUCAAAUUUUUUUUCAUUUUCUUACUCGGUGUGUACCAUGCAAAUUAUAUCAGUGCCCAGUUAGAGUGCAUACCGUGUCCCAAAAUACCAGCAACAUUUUUUUGCGAGGCUGUAGCAUCGCUGCAGAAACACAUACCGCUGUUAUUUUUAGAUCAUUUAAUAGCUUGCAAUUUUAACUUUAUCCCUGGUAAGUAUUGGUUUGAUUAAUUGAUUUCCAAAUGUGUUUUGAGGUUAUUCCUGUUCAAAUAAAGGCAUGUCUCAACCGAUUUCAAGGAAAAUCAAUCAUGCGCAUUUUUUUCUGUCGAAUGCUUCAUCAUGUUCAUGAUAUUACGAUCUUGUUGCCUUUUACUUUCUGUGUUUCCUUUUCUUUUCGAUCCACGUGGACUACACCUUAGAUAAAUUCACAGUCUUGUUCUUCGUUUCAAGUUCAAUGUGUUUUUAAUAAAGUCAACUGGUUUUGGGGGGGUUAUUUCAACAGCUUGUUGACUCGAGUUUGCAUCUGAUGUCGUUUCAAGUUCAAUGUUCAAUAACACCUAUAAAAUGCUUUAAGAAUUAAUUAUUAUUCUCACCAUCAUAUUUGUACACUGUAUGUCAGUUUUAAUUUGUGUCGUGUUUUCGUGUCACGCUGGUGUUAAUUUUUUUUCUAGAUUAUUCCAGUUUUACUAUGAUUUUUGUCGCUCGAACAGUUUCAUUUAAAGUUGGUAAAUAAUGUCCCGUAAUAAAUAAACUUGCUUUAUUUUUUGCAGGCCUUUAUAAAGUUUAAAAAAGUGGUUUUAAAUGGCGCGGUCCAGUUUAAAAAUUGUGCACACUUUUCAGAACUAAUUACGAGCGUCCCGCUCUUAAUUACAAAGUUAAAAUUAUUUAACUGAUUACAUGUACUGUACUUAUCAUGGGCCAUUUUUUUCGUGAGAUGUCUCAUUGAAAAGCUCAUAACUAAUGCAAUGCUAGAAAAUUAUCGAUCCAAUUUGAAAAUCUAUUUAUCAAGGUGCCACACCCAAAAAGCUCAUUUUUACCAACUUUAAAGUCGCUUUCAUUAUAAAGUGGGCCUAUCUGAGCCAAAAAAAUGACCAAUAGUCCCAGUUGUUUACUUAUAUAUUAACAAAUGUAUUGUUGUUACUGCUAUCUUUAGGUGAUAAAGAGUUGUGCAUUUGUGAGCCAGCUUUGAAUUUCCUCAAUAUCAAAUUCACAAUUUAAUUGUCUAAAUCUGUUUUUGUACAGAGAACACAUUCUGGAAAGUGGAAAUCAAUUAAUAAUGUUACAAAAAACGUUUUAAUAAAAUUCACUUUGUUAUUAAA
rnacentral:misc_RNA from 1 species